AUUGCGAUGACAUAUUGUAGGCCCAGGUGGAUGAAGAAAGGAGGCUCCGGCACGAAUUAGAGAGAUCGUUCGAGGAGAGGAUGGCGGCAGAACGAUCCCAGUGGUAUGCGAUGAUGACGCCCCUUUAUGCUGCAAUGGGCCAAACUCCACCACCGAUGCCAACCCCUUCUCGUCCACUUGCUCCACAGGCUCCACACACUCCUUAUCCAUCAGAGGGAUCGAAUACGCCUGGAGCUGGAGGUUCGCACUUUGGUACUCCACCUCACUUUGGUUAAGGUGGUAAUCAAGUGUGGAGUCCGUUACGGCCUGCAACAUUUUCUUUUUGUUUGGACUAUAUUUUGCUAUCUUGUCACGACAAUUUGUGAUGUUUGUGUCACUUGCGAUGUUUAUGCGACGGUUUAUGUGAUGUUUGUGGCAUAUGUGAUGUUUAUGCGACGGUUUAUGUGAUGUUUGUGUAAUAUGCGAUGUUUAUGUGAAUGUGGUAAUCUGUGAAAUAUAUAUAAAUUGUUUUGAAUUGCAGCGACAGUUUUGAA